UGCAGUCGAGGGGCAGCAGGGUGUAGCAAUACAUCGCUGGCAACCGGCAAACGGGUGAGGAACACGUGCGCAACCUCCCUUCAAGUGAGGAAUAGCCCAGGGAAACUUGGAUUAAUACCUCGUAACAUUAUGAGAUGGCAUCAUCUUAUAAUUAUAGCUCCGGCGCUUGAAGAUGGGCGUGCGGCUGAUUAGGUAGUUGGCGGGGUAACAGCCCACCAAGCCUUCGAUCAGUAACUGGUGUGAGAGCACGACCAGUCACACGGGCACUGAGACACGGGCCCGACUCCUACGGGAGGCAGCAGUAAGGAAUAUUGGUCAAUGGACGCAAGUCUGAACCAGCCAUGCCGCGUGGAGGAUGAAGGUCCUCUGGAUUGUAAACUACUUUUAUCUGGGAAGAAACCCACGUUUUCCAAUGUGGUUGACGGUACCAGAUGAAUAAGCACCGGCUAACUCCGUGCCAGCAGCCGCGGUAAUACGAAGGAUCCAAGCGUUGUCCGGAUUUACUGGGUUUAAAGGGUGCGUAGGCGGGAGAUUAAGUCA
rnacentral:rRNA from 1 species